GCCAGACUCCUACGGGAGGCAGCAGUGGGGGAUAUUGCACAAUGGGGGAAACCCUGAUGCAGCGACGCCGCGUGAGUGAAGAAGUAUUUCGGUAUGUAAAGCUCUAUCAGCAGGGAAGAAGAUGACAGUACCUGAGUAAGAAGCCCCGGCUAGCUACGUGCCAGCAGCCGCGGUAAUACGUAGGUGGCAAGCGUUGUCCGGAUUUACUGGGUGUAAAGGGCGUGCAGCCGGGCUGACAAGUCAGAUGUGAAAUCCCGUGGCUCAACCGCGGAACUGCAUUUGAAACUGUCAGUCUUGAGUACCGGAGAGGUCAUCGGAAUUCCUUGUGUAGCGGUGAAAUGCGUAGAUAUAAGGAAGAACACCAGUGGCGAAGGCGGAUGACUGGACGGCAACUGACGGUGAGGCGCGAAAGCGUGGGGAGCAAACAGGAUUAGAUACCCUAGUAGAU
rnacentral:rRNA from 1 species